rnacentral:rRNA from 1 species
UACUGCGAAGGGGGGACGGAGAAGGCUAUGUUGGCCGGGCGACGGUUGUCCCGGUUUAAGCGUGUAGGCUGGUUUUCCAGGCAAAUCCGGAAAAUCAAGGCUGAGGCGUGACGACGAGGCACUACGGUGCUGAAGCAACAAAUGCCCUGCUUCCAGGAAAAGCCUCUAAGCAUCAGGUAACAUCAAAUCGUACCCCAAACCGACACAGGUG